CAAAGAGCUGCUUUCCUCCCGCCUCUCAGCUGAUCGGCGGGUGGGCGGGGCUUCCACGGAGGUCUGGUGUAGGCCUCUGUGAAGCCUGAACUCGAGUAGGGCCCAAACAAGCCAGGAAGGAGGAGGCAGCCAGAGAGGCCUCCACUGUUCUCUGCAGCAGAAGACCCCCUGCUGCCAGGUGCUGAUUAUCAGAACUGAAGAUUCCCAUUUAUGAUUAUCGUUCUUUAACGAACUUAACCUGAAUCAAGUCUUAAUGAUCACAGUGGCUACAGAAGCUGUUAACCUUGGGAAGGUUGUUAACAUUCUGUUUUCUCUCUGUGAUGCAACCUUGAGUAUUUUGUUCUGAAAUAUUCAGUCUGGUGUGGCUGUUUAUGUGCACACUACAGAAAUAAUGCUAAUAAAGGAUUCUGAAGAUUUUAA